UUGUGGUUCCAAGCUUCUUCAUGGUGGCUAAACUUGCAGGGAAAAAUGGAUUGGAGUGUUUCUCUGUCAUCACAAGUUCCCAACCUGUGCUAGAAGACUUAGCUGGCAAGACAUCAGCAUUGGGGGCAUUAUCACCAGAGAUGCUACAGAUAGCCCUUAAUAUAACUCCAGAGUUGCAGGGUCUUCUCAGCUCAAGGAUUAGAAAGAUCUGAUCAAUCAUUAUCUAAGCAGAUCCAUGCAUGUUGAUCACUGCAAGAUUUCAUGGCUUAAUUCCUCUUUUAUGUGAUGUAUAAAUUUUUUACUAUUUAAAUACAAGUUUAUUUCUCAAUAAUAAAAUAAAAUAAAAUAAAGAUUGUGUGGAUCAUUUUUUAUGUGAAAUCUCCUUUUACUU